rnacentral:rRNA from 1 species
GUGGAUUAGCUACCCUGGUCGUCCGCACAGUAAACGAUGGAUACUCGCUGUUGGCGAUAUACAGUCAGCGGCCAAGCGAAAGCAUUAAGUAUCCCACCUGGGGAGUACGCCGGCAACGGUGAAACUCAAAGGAAUUGACGGGGGCCCGCACAAGCGGAGGAACAUGUGGUUUAAUUCGAUGAUACGCGUGGAACCUUACCCGGGCUUGAACUGCAGGAGACUUUUCCGGAAACGGAUUUUCCCUUCGGGGCUCCUGUGGAGGUGCUGCACGGUCGUCGUCAACU